CAGCAGCCGCGGUAAUACGAAGGGUGCAAGCGUUACUCGGAAUUACUGGGCGUAAAGCGUGCGUAGGUGGUGGUUUAAGUCCGUUGUGAAAGCCCUGGGCUCAACCUGGGAAUUGCAGUGGAUACUGGGUCACUAGAGUGUGGUAGAGGAUAGUGGAAUUUCCGGUGUAGCAGUGAAAUGCGUAGAGAUCGGAAGGAACAUCUGUGGCGAAGGCGACUAUCUGGGCCAUUACUGACACUGAGGCACGAAAGCGUGGGGAGCAAACAGGAUUAGAUACCCCUGUAGUCCCUGUCUCUUAUAC
rnacentral:rRNA from 1 species